rnacentral:rRNA from 1 species
AUGGCCAUGAGCGAGCAAGAUGGGCAGCACGCCACGAACAGCCUUCCCGGGGACGCGGCGAACGGCGCCGUCGACAUCGACUCCUUCUCGCAGCUCCCGUUCGUGCGGCCCAAGCCGCCCCCGGCGACGGAGGCCGGCGGGUCGAGCCCCACGUCGUCCAUCCGCCUCUUCGGCUUCGACUUCCCGCCCGACGGGGCGGCGUCCUCCGUCACCGACGGCGAUGCUGCCGCUGUCAGCUCCACUGCUCCCGGCCAGGCGGCGGCGGCUGCGUCGGCCGGUGCAAGUGGCGGCAGCGGCGGCCGCAAGUUCGAGUGCCACUACUGCUGCCGGAACUUCCCGACGUCGCAGGCGCUGGGGGGACACCAGAACGCGCACAAGAGGGAGCGGCAGCACGCGAAGCGCGCGCAGUUCCAGAGCGCCAUGGCCAUGCAAGGCCACUACCCCGCGCACGCGUACCCCGCCUUCGGCAGCGGCUACCACCACCGCUUCGUCGCCGGGCCGCCGCACAUGGGCCGCUACGAGCCGCCGCCGCACUACCCCUCGUGGUCCAACCACCACCACCUGGCGCCCACCAUGCCAGCGGCGGUGCCCAGGUACUACGGCAGCGGCCCCGGCUCCGUGUCCCAGCCGAUCAACGGCAGCCCGGUGCCGGCGUCGGCGCUCUGGCGGGUCCCGGGCGUCAGCGUGGCGACACCAGCAGCGCCGCGGCAAGAGCGGCCAACGCCCUUGACUCUUGCCGGGCGUGACGACAUGGCGGUGGCGUGGGAAAGAAGAGGACAAGCAGCUGGCUCGGCGUCGUCGGCGUCAUCAGCGUCGUCGUCUUCGCAGCAUGAGGCCGCGCGCCACGGGGGAGAAGCCGCCGAGAACAGGGCAAACGUGAGCCUGGAUCUCACCCUGUAA